GUCCUUAUAGCGCAAUGGAUAGCGCGUUGGACUUCUAAUCCAAAGGUCGUGGGUUAGAAUCCCACCUGGGAUG
rnacentral:tRNA from 1 species